rnacentral:lncRNA from 1 species
UAUUGGAUUAAACUAUCCAAUCAUAUAUAACUAAAAUUAAAAUUUUAUAUGAAUAAUAAUUUUUUACUUUAAAAAUAUUCUGUAUAUUUUCUCAAGUAUACAAUUAAUAGCAAGAUAGGUAACGGCAGCCAUAUGCUGCUACUUGGUAACUUGAAGGGCUUCCGACUUGGCCAAAUAGGGUGAGAGAUAGAAAAAGAGAAAGAGAGAAACACAUUGAAAAUUUAAAGCUCUGUGAAAGAAAGAAAGAAAGGAAAAAUAAAUAAAUUUAGUAAAAUUUUGCUCUUUUAUNGGCUGAAAAUCUACAAGCACCAAUGUCUUGAUACUUUUAAAAGCAUAGGAGCUCAAUUCUAUAUAUAUAUAUAUAUAUAUAUAUAUAUAUAUAUAGUGUAGAAUUACUAUGUUAUCGAAAAUAUAGAGGAUUUGAUGUUUUCGAAUUUUUGACCCUUUGAUUAAGAAUUGUAUGGUUGGGAUGAUUGCGGUUCCCGCUAGGAUUAAAUAAUAUCUCUAGAAUUGAGUGGUCCCUAUAAGAUAAUAAUAGUAUUAAUUCAAAGAAAUGAUUAGUUGAUCUAAAAAUCAAAAAAUUGAAAGCACCAGAUCUUCUAUACUUUAUGUUAUCGAAAAUAUAGAGGAUUUGAUGUUUUCGAAUUUUUGACCCUUUGAUUAAGAAUUGUAUGGUUGGGAUGAUUGCGGUCCCCCUAGGAUUAAAUAAUAUCCUUAGAAUUGAGUGGUCCCUACAAGAUAAUAAUAGUAUUAAUUCAAAGAAAUGAUUAGUUGAUCUAAAAAUCAAAAAAUCGAAAGCACCAGUUUCUCUGUACUUUUGAUAGCAUAU